AUUGGAUAUAAAGGAAGAUGUUGGAUCUGUGAAAAGGAGACACAGUAAGCUACAGACAGCAAUAAUACCAACAGAGUCGUCUGGCAAUCAUGAGUGUGUUCAGUGCUCUAAGCCAGCCCUACAGUGUGUUUCCCAUUUUCCAGCACAUUUAAUAUUGAAGCGCAUGUACGUCCAAGAACAAGGUUUCACAGUCCUAGUCGCCUGCAUCAACAAUUACCCAUAGUUAAGAGUGACGUUAGAUCAUCUAUGAACCAAACUCUGAAGAAUUCUGUGUAAUCAUGGCCCAAGAAAGAGAAACUGAUAUCAAGCACCCAGAUUGGAUAUAAAGGAAGAGUUGGAUCUGUGAAAAGGAGACACAGUAAGCUACAGACAGCAAUAAUACCAACAGAGUCGUCUGGCAAUCAUGAGUGUGUUCAGUGCUCUAAGCCAGCCCUACAGUGUGCUUCCCAUUUUCCAGCACAUUUAAUAUUGAAGCGGCCUGAGUCUAUACUGGAGUCUGAAUUCAGUUGGGAUAGUUCCUGCUGCAGAUAACCAGGGAAGAUUGCCAACCCUUGUCCUUGAAAAUGCAAGCUCCAA